CCCCGACGAGCGCUCAUCCCCCUCGGUCGCUGCCCAGACAGCCGGGUUAUUGGUCGGCGGCUGUGUCGGAGACGCGCCCCUUAUUAAGGACCCGGGGGAUGAAUCAAGGAGGAGUCAAGGUAACGGUCAAGAACGCAACAGCACCCAGGGGACGUGCUGGUGAGAUGGUUGAUUGGAACCAACCCAUCGUUUAUCGAAUGAUUCUGACGCAUUACCAUCAAAUGCUGACGUCAGGGCAAAUAUUAACAAAAGGCGCACAGGAGCACAAUACUUCAGACCUUUGAUGGUGCCUCUCUUAUCUGCAUGAUACAGGUGCCUUUUCAGUUUUUCACAAUAUGAAAGAGACAGACUCUCAUCUCCCGCAGCUGUGCUCUGACUAAGCUAUCUCUUGCUCAGAUGAAACAGGAGGCAACACAGAUGGAGCCCAGAUAAAACCAAAAAAACAUUUUAAAAAAAGUAUACAAACUAUUAAGCUGCAGCUGGGUGUUUUGCAUCACAGAACACACACAUUCCAUUUUUAAUCAGAUUUAUUGAUUGCAGCAAACAGCACUGUAGCUUUGCCUAUACCAAAACCAAUCUUAAAGUACAUUUCCAUACAAAAUGAUUUCUAGUACAAACAGUUGGAUUUGGUAUUGUGUCAAUGAAGCUUAAAACUGGUUAAUAUGAAUAUAAAAAGUGGAGACAGAUUCAUUUAUAUGGCCUUCUUAAAAACUUGGCUUAAACAAGUGUAUUUUGUUGCAAAUAUAGCGUUCUCUGUAAUUCACUUUAGUGGAUGUGCUUUGUCUCUAAUAUUGUUGGAAUUUAAAGAAAACAAUACAGAAAACAGAAUGAAAAGACGGCAAAUCAAGACUAGACAGAAAAUAUUUACAACGUUUGUACAGCAACAGUUUAAAAUCCACAACUGAGCACCGGUCAGGAGGAUAGACUCGGGGCCAGAAUCAUUCCUGCUUUCACUUUACGUCCCCUUGAGCUCACUCCAUUGGUUUGUCCAAUUUCACUUCCUCUCCAGUCACCCCACAAUAUUUUGGGGGUGAAGGUAGUGUGAAUCAAGGCCCCUCUUAUUUUACACACAUCUGUGGCAGAAAAGACACAGAAACCUUCAGUCUGUCGGACGGAAAAGAUACCGAUCUGCUUGCUGAUUUAAGGCAGAAUGAGAGCCAGGAGAGAAGGCACCAGCCUCCCAGGACUCCAGUGUUGCAAGAGCAGUUUGAUGUUCUGCUAAUUCCUCUUCCGAGUCACUGUACCGACGAAGGACAAACGCAGUUGUGUUUAGGUUCGUUCCCAACCCACGUCUCUGUCAAUAAACCGUACCGCCUCUCACUUCGUAGUGACGCGUGAUCACAGACGAUCACAGACCCUGGCAGGCACCACAUCCCGGCAUCUACACUCUCCGAAAGCCAGCUACCCUGCACCACCUGU